rnacentral:piRNA from 1 species
UGUGCCAUGCAUUACUGGUGUCUCUCUA